rnacentral:rRNA from 1 species
UACGUAGGGUGCGAGCGUUGUCCGGAAUUACUGGGCGUAAAGAGCUCGUAGGUGGUUUGUCGCGUCCGGGGUGAAAGCCUCCCGCUCAACGGGAGAACGGCCUCGGAUACGGGCGGCCUCGAGGGGGGUAGGGGCGUGCGGAACUGUGGGUGGAGCGGUGAAAUGCGUUGAUAUCCACAGGAACUCCGGUGGCGAAGGCGGCACGCUGGACCCCUUCUGACGCUGAGGCGCGAAAGCCAGGGGAGCGAACGGG